rnacentral:tRNA from 1 species
GGGUCGUUAGCUCAGUUGGUAGAGCAGUUGGCUUUUAACCAAUUGGCCGUGCGUUCGAGUCGCACACGACCCACCA